AAGGAAUAUUGGGCAAUGGACGCAAGUCUGACCCAGCCAUGCCGCGUGAAUGAUGAAGGUCCUCUGGAUUUUAAACUUAUUUUAUCUGGGCCGAAAACAACUCGUUCUAGAGUUCUUGAAAGUACCAGAAGAAUAGACACAGGCUAACUCCGUCCCAUCAGCCGCGGUAAUACGAAGGACCCACGCUUGGUCCGGAAGCACGGGGCUUAAAGGAAGCGUAGGAGGCGUGGUAAGUCAGCAGUGAAACC
rnacentral:rRNA from 1 species